rnacentral:rRNA from 1 species
CCUACGGGUGGCAGCAGUGGGGAAUAUUGCACAAUGGGGGAAACCCUGAUGCAGCGACGCCGCGUGAGUGAAGAAGUAAUUCGUUACGUAAAGCUCUAUCAGCAGGGAAGAAAUACUGACCUUACGGUCAGCAGACGGUACCUGAGUCAGAAGCCCAGGCUAACUACGUGCCAGCAGCCGCGGUAAUACGUAGGGGGCAAGCGUUAUCCGGAUUUACUGGGUGUAAAGGGAGCGUAGACGGUGCGCCAAGUCUGGAGUGAAAUGCCGAAGCUUAACUGCGGAACUGCUUUGGAAACUGGCGAACUAGAGUGCGGGAGGGGUAAGCGGAAUUCCUAGUGUAGCGGUGAAAUGCGUAGAUAUUAGGAGGAACACCGGUGGCGAAGGCGGCUUACUGGACCGUAACUGACGUUGAGGCUCGAAAGCGUGGGGAGCAAACAGGAUUAGAUACCCUAGUAGUC